rnacentral:tRNA from 1 species
GCCGUUGUAGCUCAGGGGUAGAGCGCUCCCUUGGUAAGGGCGAGGUCAAGAGUUCAAAUCUCUUCAAUGGCA